UAGAUAUGAUGUAAAUUACAUAAGCAAAUAAAGACGGUUGCUGUAUGUUCUGUGCUGUGUCCUGUUGUCCAAUUAGUUUUUUUGUUUACAAGCAGAGUUUCAAAUAGUGGCCAUAUUGAUUGAAUUGUCACAAAUUUUGAGGCUGGCAAUACAGUGAUGUGAUUUUUAACAAAUUGUUUACUUCCAUUCACUGAUCACUGUGGCAAUUUUUAAUCAAACACUGAAGUUUUGUGAGAACUAAGGACAAUUCUGGCUUGGCUGGCAUCUGGAUGG
rnacentral:misc_RNA from 1 species